AAUGAACGCUGGCGGCGCGCCUAAUACAUGCAAGUCGAGCGAGAAGACGUAGCAAUACGUUUGUAAAGCGGCGAACGGGUGAGGAAUACAUGGGUAACCUACCCUCGAGUGGGGAAUAACUAGCCGAAAGGUUAGCUAAUACCGCGUACGCUCCUUGGACUUCGGUUCAGGGAGGAAAGCGAUACCGUGGGUAUCGCGCUCUUGGUUGGGCUCAUGUCCUAUCAGCUUGUUGGUGAGGUAACGGCUCGCCAAGGCUUCGACGGGUAGCUGGUCUGAGAGGACGAUCAGCCACACUGGCACUGCGACACGGGCCAGACUCCUACGGGAGGCAGCAGUAAGGAAUAUUGCGCAAUGGGCGAAAGCCUGACGCAGCGACGCCGCGUGGGGGAUGAAGGUCUUCGGAUUGUAAACCCCUUUCGGGAGGGAAGAUGGAACGAGCAAUCGUUCGGACGGUACCUCCAGAAGCAGCCACGGCUAACUUCGUGCCAG
rnacentral:rRNA from 1 species